ensembl:lncRNA
CAACAGAAAGCCUUCAGGCAGUGCAGGACUUUCUGAGUGUGUGCGUGCGCGCGUGCGUGUGUGUGUGUGUGUGUGUGUGUGUGUGUGUGUGUGGGCUAUGUUUGGAUUUCCAUGGAGGGCUACUAGUCUGCUACACACAGGAAACAGGUCAAUUUAAUAGGUUAAAGCUGUCACUCCACACAGACACACAAGUGUGUGUGUGUGUGUGUGUGUGUGUGUCAGGAAGCAGGGUGAAGAUGUGACCCAGCUUCUGUUUUUUUUCUUGUUUAGACUAAAACGGCACGUGGCUGGUUAAACGUUGAGCCGAGGAGCUUUUCUCUCUCCUUCUCUGUCCUUGUUCUGCCUCUGUCUCUAUCCGUCUCUUGUCUGUAUGCUUGAAGUGUGUGUGUGUGUGUGUGUGUGUAUGUGUGUGUGUUUUUGCAUACACUCUGCGUGCUGAGCUUCCCGCCCCCAAAAUGUAAAUUACGUAUGACAUGUCUAGUUGGUGCUUCCUAAUAUGGGGUGCGCUGCGUUUCAGCAGGAUCCUGCCAGCCACUCUAGGAUUCCACCGGGGCGUGUGAGACAGAGUGUGUGUGUGUGUGUGUGUGUGUGUGUGUGUGUGUGUAUGUGUGUAUUUGUGUCAGCGUGAGCGAGACCAUUAGUUGGAGGCUAGAGAGAGAGAGUGCAAGAGAGGGAAAGAGAUGUCUAUGCAUGGUUUUCGCUUCUCUUCGAGUGCGUCACUCCUCUCGAAAGACGCCAUUGAUGGAAAUCGAAUGCUCCAAGUCUAGACAUGAUUCUCCUUUAGUCAUCACAGUAAUGUUCACUGGGCUGAGCAGUGCAGGCAUUGGCCUGCUCACAGAGGAAUCUGACAACAAUGUUGACAAAUGCGGUGUAAAGGAAUAUACACACACUCACACACUCACACUUCCUGGUCCUGUGACCGUUAUCACUCCUACAGUUUAAGUUCCAAAGGUUCAUUGUGUUCGAAUCCUGGAAGUGGUUUAAAGUGUUGUUUUAAAGGCUCGUUCUGUACGUGUUGUGGUUCUGUCGUGUACGGGAACGUCAACAUUUGAGCGCGUGAGCAUGUGGCAAAUUCUAAAGACAACUUAAAGAGUUAGAGAGCACAUGCAUCUCUCUCAUUCUCUCUCUCUCUCUCUCUCUCUCUCUCUCUCUCUCUCUCUCUCUCUCUCUCCCUCCUGCUUGGCGCCAGGCCCAGAAUGCGGUUGCAACAUCGCUUGCUCUGAUUGGUUAGCUGACAUCAUGCAACACUUCUGAGAAAGGGGAAACGAACUCGCUGUCUUUCUUUCCACUUCUUUCUUUCCCCCCAACUGUCUCUCUCUAUCUCUUUCUGUAUCAAUCUCUACUUCUGUCUCUCUUUAAAUAGAUUUGCCAUGGCUUUACUGCCGAGUGCUGCACUGUAAGUGAUAUGCUAUUAGAGCUGAUUUCCCAGCGCUUGCACUGACGCUGGCGAAUUUACAUGGGGCUUCUUUGCGUGCGCGCAAGAGAGCUGAGAGGGAGAUGAGAAAGGAUGUGACAGAAUGAUUUAUUUGCCCUAGCUGAUGGCGUUAAGUAGACUGCUUUGCAUUUUUGGCAUUUUUGGGUGGGAAAAGAGUUUGUGCAGCUGGGCAGAGAGAUGAGUCUGAGACAGGGAGAGAGGGAUCGAGAGAAGGAAAUGAAGGAAUGUGAAAGAGGGGGAUUAAAGUGAGUAGCACGUGACUGUUUCAGUUCGCCAACACCACCAAAAGUGGCCUUUACGCCCUUUGUUAAGCGCCUGUACAUAACUGCAAGGUCACGACGAAAUGAUGCAUGAGUAAGCUAUUCAUUUUUCCUUCCCUUUU